rnacentral:rRNA from 1 species
GGCCAACGCUGGCGGCGUGCUUAACACAUGCAAGUCGAACGGAAAGGCCCUGCUUGCAGGGUACUCGAGUGGCGAACGGGUGAGUAACACGUGGGUGAUCUGCCCUGCACUUCGGGAUAAGCCUGGGAAACUGGGUCUAAUACCGGAUAGGAGCCAUUUUUAGUGUGAUGGUUGGAAAGUUUUUUCGGUGUAGGAUGAGCUCGCGGCCUAUCAGCUUGUUGGUGGGGUAAUGGCCUACCAAGGCGGCGACGGGUAGCCGGCCUGAGAGGGUGGACGGCCACAUUGGGACUGAGAUACGGCCCAGACUCCUACGGGAGGCAGCAGUGGGGAAUAUUGCACAAUGGGCGCAAGCCUGAUGCAGCGACGCCGCGUGGGGGAUGACGGCCUUCGGGUUGUAAACUCCUUUCGCUAGGGACGAAGCUUUUUGUGACGGUACCUAGAUAAGAAGCACCGGCUAACUACGUG